rnacentral:rRNA from 1 species
UGGGGAAUAUUGGACAAUGGGGGCAACCCUGAUCCAGCCAUGCCGCGUGAGUGAUGAAGGCCUUAGGGUUGUAAAGCUCUUUUAGCAGGGAAGAUAAUGACGGUACCUGCAGAAAAAGCCCCGGCUAACUUCGUGCCAGCAGCCGCGGUAAUACGAAGGGGGCUAGCGUUGCUCGGAAUCACUGGGCGUAAAGCGCACGUAGGCGGCUUCUUAAGUCAGGGGUGAAAUCCUGGAGCUCAACUCCAGAACUGCCUUUGAUACUGAGGAGCUCGAGUCCGGGAGAGGUGAGUGGAACUGCGAGUGUAGAGGUGAAAUUCGUAGAUAUUCGCAAGAACACCAGUGGCGAAGGCGGCUCACUGGCCCGGUACUGACGCUGAGGUGCGAAAGCGUGGGGAGCAAACAGG